UGGCUCAGUUGGUAGAGCAUGGUGCUUGCAAUGCCAGGGUUGUGGGUUUGAUUCCCAU
rnacentral:tRNA from 1 species